rnacentral:rRNA from 1 species
GACGAACGCUGGCGGCGUGCUUAACACAUGCAAGUCGAACGGAAAGGCCCUGCUUUUGUGGGGUGCUCGAGUGGCGAACGGGUGAGUAACACGUGAGUAACCUGCCCUUGACUUUGGGAUAACUUCAGGAAACUGGGGCUAAUACCGGAUAGGAGCUCCUGCUGCAUGGUGGGGGUUGGAAAGUUUCGGCGGUUGGGGAUGGACUCGCGGCUGAUCAGCUUGUUGGUGGGGUAGUGGCUUACCAAGGCUUUGACGGGUAGCCGGCCUGAGAGGGUGACCGGCCACAUUGGGACUGAGAUACGGCCCAGACCCCUACGGGAGGCAGCAGUGGGGAAUAUUGCACAAUGGGCGGAAGCCUGAUGCAGCAACGCCGCGUGCGGGAUGACGGCCUUCGGGUUGUAAACCGCUUUCGCCUGUGACGAAGCGUGAGUGACGGUAAUGGGUAAAGAAGCACCGGCUAACUACGUG